AGGGGCGGAUGUAGCCAAGUGGAUUAAGGCAGUGGAUUGUGAAUCCACCCAUGCGCGA
rnacentral:tRNA from 1 species